UGAAUUUGAAAGAGCUGGGGGUCCUGUCCUCGUAUAGUGACAUUUUUUAAGUGAACCUGAAUUUAAACUAUUGGUUAUACACAGUUACACACCUUUGACUAUUGAUGUAAUACAAAGUGCUGUGAUAAACUUGAAAACUAGCUAACUCAUCUGUGAAUUUGAAAGAGCUGGGGGUCCUGUCCUCGUAUAGUGACAUUUUUUAAGUGAACCUGAAUUUAAACUAUUGGUUAUACACAGUUACACACCUUUGACUAUUGAUGUAAUACAAAGUGCUGUGAUAAACUUGAAAACUAACCACCAGACUACAACAACAACAACAUACCCAUAUAGUCCCACAAACUAACCACCAAACUAAUCUGAAAAUUAUUGAAUGAAAAAACAAACAAACAGUGGAAGCUACAGUUUAAUGCUUCAAAGAUUUUGUUGAUUUCGCCUUCCACUUUCACUUGUUUGAUGGAAAUAGUAGAAUAUAAUACUUCUUUUCAUAAUUUAACUGGACUACAAAUCACGAUAUAUCUACGAGAGUUACGCGUUCAAACCAUAAGGCAAU
rnacentral:lncRNA from 1 species